AUGGAGAAGGGUGUAGAAGGGUAUACCCAGUUGUUAACAUUGCAAUUUUUUUUUUCUGGGGAGUAUGAAAUAGAGAGAACGACAGAAAUUCCUGCCGUCGAAGAGUUGGAAACUCAGCGUCGCUGGCAGCCGCUGUACUUGGAAAUUCGAAAUGAGUCCCAUGACUAUCCUCAUAGAGUGGCCAAGUUUCCAGAAAACAGAUUUCGAAACAGAUACAGAGAUCUAAGCCCAUAUGAUCACAGUCGUGUUAAACUGCAAAAUGCUGAGAAUGAUUAUAUUAAUGCCAGUUUAGUUGACUUAGAAGAGGCACAAAGGAGUUACAUCUUAACACAGGGUCCACUUCCUAACACAUGCUGCCAUUUCUGGCUUAUGGUUUGGCAGCAGAAGACCAAAGCAGUUGUCAUGCUGAACCGCAUUGUGGAGAAAGAAUCGGUUAAAUGUGCACAGUACUGGCCAACAGAUGACCAAGAGAUGCUGUUUAAAGAAACAGGAUUCAGUGUGAAGCUCUUGUCAGAAGAUGUGAAGUUGUAUUAUACAGUACCUCUACUACAAUUAGAAAAUAUCAAUAGUGGUGAAACCAGAACAAUAUCUCACUUUCAUUAUACCACCUGGCCAGAUUUUGGAGUCCCUGAAUCACCAGCUUCAUUUCUCAAUUUCUUGUUUAAAGUGAGAGAAUCUGGCUCCUUGAACCCUGACCAUGGGCCUGCGGUGAUCCACUGUAGUGCAGGCAUUGGGCGCUCUGGCACCUUCUCUCUGGUAGACACUUGUCUUGUUUUGAUGGAAAAAGGAGAUGAUAUUAACAUUAAACAAGUGUUAUUGAACAUGAGAAAAUACCGAAUGGGUCUUAUUCAGACCCCAGAUCAACUGAGAUUCUCAUACAUGGCUAUAAUAGAAGGAGCAAAAUGUAUAAAGGGAGAUUCUGGUAUACAGAAACGAUGGAAAGAACUUUCUAAGGAACACUUAUCUCCUGCCUUUGAUCAUUCACCAAACAAAAUAAUGACUGAAAAAUACAAUGGGAAGAGAAUAGGUCUAGAAAAAGAAAAACUGACAGGUGACCAACGUACAGGACCUUCCUCUAAAAUGCAAGAUACAGUGGAGGAGAACAGUGAGAGUGCUCUACGGAAACGUAUUCGAGAGGACAGAAAGGCCACCACAGCUCAGAAGGUGCAGCAGAUGAAACAGAGGCUAAAUGAGAAUGAACGAAAAAGAAAAAGGCCAAGAUUGACAGACACCUAAUAUUCAUGACUUGAGAAUAUUCUGCAGCUAUAAAUUUUGAACCAUUGAUGUGCAAAGCAAGACCUGAAGCCCACUCUGGAAACUAAAGUGAGGCUCGCCAACCCUCUAGAUUGCCUCACAGUUGUUUGUUUACAAAGUAAACUUUACAUCCAGGGGAUGAAGAGCACCCACCAGCAGAAGACUUUGCAGAACCUUUAAUUGGAUGUGUUAAGUGUUUUUAAUGAGUGUAUGAAAUGUAGAAAGAUGUACAAGAAAUAAAUUAGGAGAGAUUACUUUGUAUUGUACUGCCAUUCCUACUGUAUUUUUAUACUACUUUUUGGCAGCAUUAAAUAUUUUUGUUAAAU